rnacentral:rRNA from 1 species
CUUAGUGGCGCACGGGUGAGUAACACGUGGGAACUUACCUCAGAGUACGGAAUAACUAUGGGAAACUAUAGCUAAUACCGUAUAUUCCGGAAACGGGAAAGAUUUAUCGCUCUGAGAUAGGCCCGCGCAAGAUUAGCUUGUUGGUGAGGUAAUGGCUCACCAAGGCUCCGAUCUUUAGCUGGUUUGAGAGGAUGAUCAGCCACACUGGGACUGAGACACGGCCCAGACUCCUACGGGAGGCAGCAGUAGGGAAUAUUGGACAAUGGGGGAAACCCUGAUCCAGCAAUGCAGCGUGAGUGACGAAGGCCUUAGGGUUGUAAAACUCUUUCAUCUGUGAGGAUAAUGACAGUAGCAGAAUAAGAAGGACCGGCUAAUUCCGUGCCAGCAGCCGCGGUAAUACGGAAGGUCCUAGCGUUGUUCGGAAUUACUGGGCGUAAAGAGUAUGUAGGCGGAACAGAAAGUUAGAAGUGAAAUCCCUGGGCUCAACCUAGGAAUUGCUUUUAAAACUUCUGUUCUUGAAUUCAGGAGAGGAUAGUGGAAUUUCCAGUGUAGAGGUGAAAUUCGUAGAUAUUGGAAGGAACACCAGUGGCGAAGGCGGCUAUCUGGACUGACAUUGACGCUGAGAUACGAAGGCAUGGGUAGCAAACGGGAUUAGAUACCCCGGUAGUCCAUGCAGUAAACGAUGGAUGCUAGUCGUCGGAC